rnacentral:lncRNA from 1 species
AAAACCCCAAAUUAUGCCAACAAUGUAAAGUAGACUUAGCUAUGAUAUCUGCCAUGAAGAGAGAAAAUCUUAAAGAAUCACCUACUGAGGAGAAAGAAUCAAGAGGACCCACAAAAUGUCCAUCAGAUAUUGGUGUGCAACAGCGGCCCUCCUGUCCUCCAUAUCCUGGCCUCUCUGCAUCUGCCCCAAUAGACAGAUCAAAUAUAUUACCUCUCUAGGAGAUGCCAGGAGGAGAAUUUGGACUAAUCAUAGUACAUACCCCCUUCUCCCUUCAAGACCUAAGGCAAAUAAAAACAGACUUAGGGAGAUUUUCGGAGGACCCAGAUAAAUAUAUUGAGGUAUUUCAAAUCUUAUGCCAGGUGUUUGACCUCACCUGGAAAGAUAUUAUGCUAUUACUCAACCAUAUUUUGACUUUCAAUGAGAAGGAAGCAGCCCUAAGAGCAGCUGAAGAAUUUAGGGAUGACGUACACCUUGCUCUUGCCCCAGCAGAAAAGACUAAGAGCAAACCCAAUUAUCCAUCCGGAGCACAGGCAGUUCCCAGAAAUGAUCCUGACUGGGACCCAAAUGCUGAACAGGAUGCUUGGAAAAUUAGACAUUUCCAAAUGUUGGCCCUUGAGGCCCUCAGGAGAAUCAAGCAAAAAGCCCAUUAACUAUUUUAAAGUUUCAGAAAGUAUUCAGGGACCCCAGGAAAGCCCUGCUAUUUUCAUGGAGAAACUCAGGGAGGCAAUGAGAAAACACACCACCGUGGAUCCUGAAUCCACAGAGGGCCAAAUAGUUUUAUUUUUUAGUUUUUUUUUUUUUAAGGCGGACAUAAUAUCUUUAUUUUAUUUUUUAUGUGGUGCUGAGAAUCGAACCCAGUGCCUCAUGCAUACUAGCUGAACACGCUACCACUUGAGCCACAUCCCCAGCCCUGGGGCCAACUACUUUUAAAGGACAAAUUUAUCAGUCAGCCCCAGACAUUAGGAGGAAGUUACAAAAAUUGGCAUAUGGCCCUGAUCAAUCUUUAGAUAACAUCCUCUGACUUGCUACUUCCAUUUUUUAUAAUAGAGACCAAGAGGAAAAGGAGAAAGAGUGCAGAGACAGAAAAAGGACUGAAGCGCUGGUGUUCGCUCUUAGAGGAGUAAGCUCCCAGAGUGAAAAAGGAGGAAGAUGAAAUGCUCCUCAAUCCACAAAAGGAACUUGUUUCCAUUGCAGAGAGGAAGGACAUUUCAAACGGGAUUGCCCAAUAGCCAAGCAGCCACCCCAAAAGCCCUGCCCUAAAUGUCAAGGCAAUCACUGGAAGAGUGACUGUCCUCAGGGGCGUAGGUCCUUGAAGCCAGACUCCUUCACACAGGCCUGAUGGGGCCCAGCCUCAGUUCUGGCUCCCGUAACUCCUAUCACUGCAGGUGAGCCCCGGGUACGCUUCUCUGUAGGGAGGCCAGAGGUCAAUUUCCUCUUAGACACUGGCGCUAGUUAUUCAGUGCUCACCUCUUACCCCGGACCUCUUUCCUCUAAUACUGUAACGGUACAAGGAGUGUCUGGAUGGCCUAUUACCAGAAAGUUUACCCCCCCACACACUGAGUUGUGAGUGGGACUGGAUGAUGUUUUCUCAUGCAUUUCCAAUGGUCCCAGAAUGUCCUACCCCUUUAUUAGGAAGAGACUUACUUUCAAAACUUCAGACAUCUAUUACAAUGAAUUUGGGACUGCGAGGAUCAUUAUGUUUGCCUUUAUUAGAAUGCAAUAUAAACCCUGUAGUGUGGGCUACUGAAGGCAAAAUUGGAUGGGCAAAAAGUGCAGUUCCAACCUAAAUAGUCUUAAAAGAUCCUUCUGUCUUUCCACAUCAGAGACAAUAUCCCCUACGCCCAGAGGCAAAAAAGGGCUUAUUGAAGAUCAUUCAGAACCUCAAAAGACAGAAACUUUUAGUGCCCUGCCAAAGCCCAUGUAACAUAUCCCUUUUAGGAAUUCAAAAACCAAAUGAGGAAUGGAGACUAGUUCAGGACCUGAGAAUAAUUAACAAAGCAGUUGUUCCUCUCCACCCUAUAGUUCCUAACCCAUACACUCUGUUAUCUGAGAUUCCAGCAGCUGCUGCUUGGUUUACUGUUUUUUUAAAGGAUGCCUUUUUCUGUAUACCCUUAGACUCCCAAUCACAAUAUCUGUUUGCCUUUGAGGAACCAGAUAAGCAGAUCUCAAUUAACUUGGACAGUAUUGUCCCAAGGGUUCAGAGAUAGCCCUCAUUUGUUUGGCCAAACCCUAGCUAAGGAUUUAACAGAGUUCAGAGAUAAAACAUCUCUGACUGUCCUACAAUAUGCAGAUGACAUACUUUUGUGUACCUCUACUCAAAAGGAAUGUCAGGAAGCCACUAAAGAACUUUUAAACUUCUUAGCUGAUAAGGGUUAUAAAGUCUCAAAGAAAAAAGCUCAAUUGUGCCAAAAACAAGUUCAAUAUUUAGGAUUACAGCUGUCUCAAGGAACCCGCAAACUAGGGCCAGAAAGAAUAACCCCUAUAGGACAGUAUCCUCUACCUCAAACCAUAAGACAACUUAGAGGCUUCCUAGGGAUAACUGGAUACUGUAGGCAUUGGAUCCCUGGAUAUGGGGAAUUAGCUAAGCCUCUUGAUAGCCUCCUCAGAGAGAUACUACGCCAAGGAACAACUUCCCUGAUAUGGGAACCAGAACACAUUAAAUUUUUUAAGGCAUUGAAAGGGGCCUUAUGCCAAGCCCCUGCCCUCAGUUUACCUACUGAACAAAAAUUCAACCUAUUUGUCACUGAGAGAGGAGGAAUAGCCCUGGGAGUGGUCACACAAAAGAAGGGACCAGCUCAACAGCCAGCAAACCUCCCCAAUCUUAAACAUAGAUAGGGAUGAUCUGUGUUUCAUUGGCAUGAUCAUAUAGCUUCACUGUUUAUCCCACAAAUUGGUUUAGAAGAUGUAAUGUGGCAUGUAGAGACUUUAAACAAUUAUACUCAAACUUCCCUCCAUGAUAUUGAGGAAAGUAUCUCUCUCCUUAACACUGAAAUAACACUUAUGAGGAAGGCCAUCUUACAAAACUGGAUGGCUUUAGAUGGCCUCACUGCUGGGGCUGGGGAUGUGGCUCAAGCGGUAGCGCGCUCGCCUGGCAUGCGUGCGGCCCGGGUUCGAUCCUCAGAACCACAUACAAACAAAGAUGUUGUGCCCGCCGAUAAUAAAAAUAAAUAAAUAAAUAUUAAAAAAAAAAAAAAGAUGUAGAUGGCCUCACUGCAGCUCAAGGUGGUACUUGUGCCAUUAUUAAAUCUGAAUGUUGUGUUUACAUCCCUGACAAUUCUGGCAAUGUGACAAAUAUCCUUAAAAAUUUACAUGCUCAGAUAGAAGCCAUGUCCUCGCCAACCUUGUCAUGGGAACAAUAUCUUAGCUCCUGGUUUUCUGGUAUUUCCUGGUGGAAAACAUUGUUAGUCUCUGUCGUUGUCAUUAUAUUCAUUGGCAUAUUUCUAUGCUGUGGCAUUUAUUGUUGCAUUAAUCUAGUUCCAGUACUAAUAACUUCUUGUUCCUCUUAUAGACCACCCAUCACUCAAAUGGCCCUCCAGCCUGUUAUUCUCAAUCAGACUUCUAUCAUGGACCACUCAAUAGACCCGAUUUUUAAAAAAGGGGGCCUCCAAAACUGUCUGCUCAACACCGCCCGCUUUCAGCUUGAAGAAGCCAGAACGGUCAUCGCCCCCUUUCCUUACAGCAGUAAGGAGUUCCCAAAAUUAGAGGGGGGAAUGAAGCCAGAUUUACAGAUAGGUAGUUAGUGUAGUUAGGUAAAUCAGGUCUAAUAUCAAGUAAAAUCAAGAAUGGAGGCCAUUAUAGAAAAUGGAGUCCAGGAAACCAGAGCAGCUCUUGGGGAAAUUGAAAUGUCCCCAAGGCCCAGAGUCCAUCCCAAGGAAAUGUUAAUGAAGCAGCUCCCAGCAAACAUGGAGAUGCUAAUCCAAAAGCCCUUCCUUCCCAGAAUGCUCUUUCAGCCCACCUGUCCCCCACUCUUUGGGCCUUCCCAUCUUCAUUCCACCACUGCAAGAUAACAUAACAAAGACAGGAAUGCCACAGGAAUGUGGGAAAGCUGAAAGUAGACCUUAGCUACUUCCCUUCCUGCUGUGCUUUAAUAAAGCUUUUACUUUCCACUUUAAACUUGCCUUGGCAUGCU